GGGGGCUUUCCAUUAUACCCAGGCCGUUCGCGGCUGGACUAUUUAUUACCCUUGUCUUUUGCGCACUUGUUGUUUCCUGGGCGGGUUCGCUCGCCACCAGGACCACAAUAUAAACCUUUUUUAUGCAGUUGCAAUCAGCGUCAGUAUAACAAAUGUAAAUCAUUUACAACUUUCAACAACGGAUCUCUUGGUUCUGGCAUCGAUGAAGAACGCAGCGAAAUGCGAUACGUAGUGUGAAUUGCAGAAUUCAGUGAAUCAUCGAAUCUUUGAACGCACAUUGCGCCCUUUGGUAUUCCAAAGGGCAUGCCUGUUCGAGCGUCAUUUGUACCCUCAAGCUUUGCUUGGUGUUGGGCGUUUUUGUCCCCCCCAAAAAGGGGACUCGCCUUAAAAGGAUUGGCAGCCGGCCUACUGGUUUCGCAGCGCAGCACAUUUUUGCGCUUGCAAUCAGCAAAAGAGGACGGCAAUCCAUCAAGACUCCUUCUCACGUUUGACCUCGGAUCAGGUAGGGAUACCCGCUGAACUUAAGCAUAUCAAUAAGCGGAGGAA
rnacentral:rRNA from 1 species